rnacentral:sRNA from 1 species
GCUGCUGCGGAAACCCGGCUUAGGAACGGGCCGGCAGCCUCCGGCCGCGGCCAGGAAGGCUCUUUGUCCCUUCCUUUGGGCCGCGUCUCUGCCCCUCCGCGUCUGACAGCCGCGGCGCCUCGGCUCGGGCGGAGAGCCCAGCGUGGCUGGGGCUGCGCGAGUCGAGCGGGGCGGGCUUGGUCCGGAGCUGCGGGAUGGAGAUCCCGGGCGGCACCGCACUCACUUCUUUUUCUGUUUUUGACAGCUCAGUUCUCUUCUACUUUGGGAGAGAGAGAAAGUCAGAUGCCCCUUUUAAACUCCCUCUUCAAAACUCAUCUCCUGGGUGACUGAGUUAAUAGAGUGGAUACAACCUUGCUGAAGAUGAAGAAUAUACAAUAUUGAGGAUUUUUUUUCUUUUUUUUUUCAAGUCUUGAUUUGUGGCUUACCUCAAGUUACCACUUUUCAGUCAAGUCUGUUUGUUUGCUUCUUCAGAAAUGUUUUUUACAAUCUCAAGAAAAAAUAUGUCCCAGAAAUUGAGUUUACUGUUGCUUGUAUUUGGACUCAUUUGGGGAUUGAUGUUACUGCACUAUACUUUUCAACAACCAAGACAUCAAAGCAGUGUCAAGUUACGUGAGCAAAUACUAGACUUAAGCAAAAGAUAUGUUAAAGCUCUAGCAGAGGAAAAUA